UAACCAUAAGGUAUCCACUGGUUGUCGGGAGAGAAGCAGGAAGUAGAUCUCUAAGUGGAUUAAAAUAUGUGUUUUCUAUUUAUUUUAACGUCUGUGUCAAACAGAAUUUCUGGGGAGUUUGCGUCCUCGGAGCCGCAGAGGGCUGAGGAUAUAUGAUCUCAUUCGUGGCAGUGGAGGCACCUCUAGGCCCACUCCAACUCAACCCACUGGACAAAAGAACAGUCAGUUCGACUUGGCAGAUGCUCUUCAUCCAGGCCCAGAUAACGGUCCAUUUAACUUUGCGGAUGCUGUUGCUUCAGCUGAGAAACUGAGCAAAGGAGAUUUCCAGGAAAAGGUGAUCCAAAAACUGGACACAAUUGAUGUAGAAGUGAAGCAGCUCUUCCACCUGCUGCCGCAGAUCAUGGCUCAAAGCUCAUCAAAGUGAGAUCUUUGGGGACACGGAGACGAGAAGACGACGGGUCGGAUGACGACGUCUUACUGAACAUGUCUGAUCUUAUUAAUCCCUCUUCCUGAUCAGAUUUUAAACAUAUAUUAAACACUGUCAUUUAAACGCUUAUCAUGAGUGUGUUCUUGCAUGUAGAUGUUUGACAGAGUACAUGUCUCUGUAAGAUACAAGGAUGAUGAAAGCAUGAAAAGCAGGUCAAGACAAAACACUGAAGACUCAAUAAAGAUGAUCUUCAUGAA